CCCCCGGCGACGCCCGGCGACGCCCCCCGAUCCCAAAUAAGGCCUCGUGCCCCACCACGAACCCUCCGACCGGGCCGAACUCCGACCGGGGAAGAUUCGCACCGAGAUCCGCGCCGUUCUAACCCCGGUCCCUUUGUCGCGAGGACGCGCCUUCCUAAUAUAGAGGACGGCUCACGACGCCCGUUGCGGGACUCCGGACGCUUCCAGGGGGCGCACACUGGAGCCCGAGUGCGUCUCCUCCCGGGCCGGAAGCGGAUCCUCCGCCAUCUUGGGCGCUCUUCGGAUCUUCCGCGCUCCUGGAGCGGUCGACGAAAGAGGAGCGAGUGCGGCGGAGAGUGGCAAAGGGUUCCAUGGUACUUCGGAAGUAUGUCUGGACCUCGACGGACGUUUACAGGCAGACAGGCAAAGAGAUCGGUGAGGCGGAGUAUAACAAAGGUUUCCUUCGUUCUUCGGAAGUCUGUCUGAACCUCGUCGACCGUUUCCAGGCAGAGGGGUGAGGGAGGCAGAGGAUGGCAAGGGGUUCCAUCGUCCCUUGGAAGCCUGCGGCUCUGGAUGUCGCCCUUAGGCUCGAGAACUCCACAACCGGGAUAAGGUUCGUGGGAGAAUUGACCCAGUUGCCUAUAAAGCGACAGGCGUCGCUCGUUCGGCGUCGCGAGGCAGCCGCGGCGUCGCGGCGUUAUUUUGGGGUGGCGAUUACUAAGAUUAGACGAACGCUGAAUCGUGACGCUCCCUAUAAGUGCAAGCGUCGAUUAUGGACCCGACGCCUCCGCCAACGACAGGCCAACGAUGAAACAUAACAGGCCGCGGAUGCCAAAAUUAGCGUACGCGAGAAAUCCCUGAUCGUGGAAAACGGACAAAGACCUCCGAGGAAGGCGAAGAAUCCUCAUUUAUUUACAUUGUAGGUCCUCUUAGAUUUUAUACAUUUUAAUUUAUGCGCUUUUACCAUUUGUAUUUAUAAGCACUGUUUCAGCUCUUUACAUGUUCUUUGUUAAACGGUUUUUUAUUGCCUUUUCUCUUUCUGGGAUCACUGUUGCCAUCCAUUUCAAAAUCUCUCUUUUUAAUGGAAGCGCGAAUUUAACUUGACUAAUUAUUUAAACGGAUAAGGAUGAUUGAUCAUAAUCACACGAAAUGAGACGAGGGAAAGUAUUUAGUGCAUGGACUGAUUCAAACUUUGGGUAGAUUUUGUCGAGGGAGAACUAUAAUGCGUUUCGAAGAAUAGAAGUAUUGUAAUUUUGAUAACGUUUAUCAUUUUGAAAGCGUAAAACCAAAGUUUCGUACGUCUUGUCAACUGCAGGAAUAUAUUUAAGUACGCUUAUUUGGUUGUGGUCAUUUUCCGUAUGAACAAUAACUGACUUUGAAGUUGUGGGUGAUAUGAUUUUGGAAUAUCAGUUAGAGGUCAUAUGACGAAGCUCGAAAAAUUAUAUUCUUGUAUAGUCAGCGAAUAUUGUCGAAACACAAUUGCUAAUACGUUUACAACAAUUAUUUUCCGUUAUGGAAAUGGAGAUUUAUGUAAAUGGAUUUAUGAAUUGAAUUGCAUAACUAGUCACUUGUUAACUGGCUCUUUAAAAUCGGUAAUCUAUGAAAUAAGAAUAUUUAGAGAUUUUUCUGAUAUUUACUAAAGACGAAUAAAUUUUUACCGAAUCUUGUUUUUAUGUAUGUGAAAGAAGUUGCAAAAUGUACGCGAAAAAGUUAUUAAAGAAUUUGUUUAAAACGCCUGUCAAAUUAUAAGUUUUUGAAAUUCAGUACACAUUUGAGGUACUUUCACCUGCUUUUAUAUUAUGUUAUUAAAUAAUAGAAUGUAUUAUGUAACUAAAUGUUAAUCUCUAAGUUAAAUUAUCAUAAUUGUAGAUGUCUGACGAACAUUUGACAGUUUAACGUGUACUUUUUAACAUGAGGGAAACUUUUGAAAUUAUUUUUAAUGACAUGCUUGUUUUCACAUUUCGAUUAAUUUGCUCUUGUAGCAGGAAAUAUCACUAUAUUAUUAAAUUCUAGUAAAGUUCACGUACGUGUUUUAAAAAAUAUUAUAUCAAAAGAUUGAACGGUUUGAAAAUCUAUUUAAAUCCGUAUCCACAUUUCAAAAUGGCGCGGAAAGCUGUCUUUUAAGGCGGCAAGAAAAGACAGUUCGUGAACGAGCGGGAAAAAGCAACCCCGAGGCACCGAGCACAAUAAAUAAUAUUUAACCGAAUUAGCUUCUAACAAAUAUUGGAUAAUGUCAAUUAGAUGUUACUUCACUAUGAAUCUACACUAGGUUUUCAAACUGACAUUCCAUAGAAUCGAAAAAAAGGCUGUAAUAACGUAACUUCCAAGAAUUAAAAAAAGUUUGGACUCAUACGAGAUCUCCAACCUGGAGGGCUUUAUCAAACAGUUCGAAUUAUGACAAAUUAUCAUAAAUUAUUAUAACUGAUCGGACCGACAUUGCUUAUAAUUCUUUCUUUAACAGUAUUAAUUGCUAAAUAGCAUCAUUUAAUCCUAACAUCACUGUUAUAUCUGGUCUCACUACAGGGCAAAAUCGUAGGCUGAUGAAAGAUGAUUCACAAAAUAUUCCAAUAUUCCUUAGAUCUGCUUUGGAUGUCACUGAGCUCGAUAUAUCCAAAGACGACGAGAUCGCGAAUUUCCAGGCUGGAAAAUAUCCGCUAUAACCUGAUAUAACUGGAUGUAACUGAAUAUAACUAGA